GUGGUGUAAGAUGGACCCGCGUCUGAUUAGCUGGUUGGCGAGGUAACGGCUCACCAAGGCGACGAUCAGUAGCCGGCCUGAGAGGGUGAACGGCCACAUUGGGACUGAGACACGGCCCAAACUCCUACGGGAGGCAGCAGUGGGGAAUAUUGCACAAUGGGGGAAACCCUGAUGCAGCAACGCCGCGUGAGUGAAGAAGUCAUUCGUGAUGUAAAGCUCUAUCAGCAGGGAAGAAAAUGACGGUACCUGACUAAGAAGCCCCGGCUAACUACGUGCCAGCAGCCGCGGUAAUACGUAGGGGGCAAGCGUUAUCCGGAUUUACUGGGUGUAAAGGGAGCGUAGACGGCGACGCAAGUCUGAAGUGAAAUGCCAGUGCUCAACACUGGAACUGCUUUGGAAACUGUGUGGCUAGAGUGCAGGAGAGGUAAGUGGAAUUCCUAGUGUAGCGGUGAAAUGCGUAGAUAUUAGGAGGAACACCAGUGGCGAAGGCGGCUUACUGGACUGUAACUGACGUUGAGGCUCGAAGGCGUGGGGAGCAAACAGGAUUAGAUACCCUGGUAGUCCACGCGGU
rnacentral:rRNA from 1 species